CUGGCGGCGGCCUACACAUGCNAGUCGAGCGGAUGAGAAGAGCUUGCUCUUCGAUUCAGCGGCGGACGGGUGAGUAAUGCCUAGGAAUCUGCCUGGUAGUGGGGGACAACGUUUCGAAAGGAACGCUAAUACCGCAUACGUCCUACGGGAGAAAGCAGGGGACCUUCGGGCCUUGCGCUAUCAGAUGAGCCUAGGUCGGAUUAGCUAGUUGGUGAGGUAAUGGCUCACCAAGGCGACGAUCCGUAACUGGUCUGAGAGGAUGAUCAGUCACACUGGAACUGAGACACGGUCCAGACUCCUACGGGAGGCAGCAGUGGGGAAUAUUGGACAAUGGGCGAAAGCCUGAUCCAGCCAUGCCGCGUGUGUGAAGAAGGUCUUCGGAUUGUAAAGCACUUUAAGUUGGGAGGAAGGGCGGUAAGCGAAUACCUUGCUGUUUUGACGUUACCGACAGAAUAAGCACCGGCUAACUCUGUGCCAGCAGCCGCGGUAAU
rnacentral:rRNA from 1 species